rnacentral:rRNA from 1 species
UGAGGAAUAUUGGUCAAUGGGCGGGAGCCUGAACCAGCCAAGCCGCGUGAGGGAGGAAGACCCUAUGGGUCGUAAACCUCUUUUGUCAGGGAACAAAAGCGAGUAUGUAUACUAGUCUGAGUGUACCUGAAGAAAAAGCAUCGGCUAACUCCGUGCCAGCAGCCGCGGUAAUACGGAGGAUGCGAGCGUUAUCCGGAUUUAUUGGGUUUAAAGGGUGCGUAGGCGGCGGUGCAAGUCAGCGGUAAAAGCCCGGGGCUCAACCCCGGCGAGCCGUUGAAACUGCAGUGCUAGAGAAGGCGAGAGGUACGCGGAAUGCGCAGUGUAGCGGUGAAAUGCUUAGAUAUUGCGCAGAACUCCGAUUGCGAAGGCAGCGUACUGGCGCCUGACUGACGCUGAGGCACGAAAGCGUGGGGAUCGAACAGGAUUAGAUACCC